UACCAGCUCUUCGAGUGGUGUGGAUGUUUAUUGGGCCUAAAGCAUCCGUAGCUGGCUGGGCAAGUCCCCUGUUAAAUCCACCGGUUUAAUCGUUGGAGUGCGGGGGAUACUGUUCGGCUAGGGGACGGGAGAGGCAGACGGUAUUUUCGGGGUAGGGGUGAAAUCCUAUAAUCCCGGGAAGACCACCAGUGGCGAAGGCUGUCUGCUAGAACGCGCCCGACGGUGAGGGAUGAAAGCUGGGGGAGCGAACCGGAUUAGAUACCCGGGUAGUCCCAGCUGUAAACGAUGCAGGCUAGGUGUUUGGGCGGCCACGUGCCGCUCUAGUGCCGCAGGGAAGCCGUUAAGCCUGCCGCCUGGGGAGUACGGCCGCAAGGCUGAAACUUAAAGGAAUUGGCGGGGGAGCACCACGAAGGGGUGAAGCUUGCGUU
rnacentral:rRNA from 1 species